rnacentral:lncRNA from 10 species
UUUACAGCCUGUGUAUACAACUACCUCUACAGAAAAUUUUAAGAUAUAUAUUAGUUCUUUAUAUUCACACAAUAACUUUGCAAAUAGUCCUAGUGUACAAAGCUUAUUCCGAUAUCUUGCUGUGUUUUUAAACAAACAUAUAUACAUAUAUGCUGUGAUAGCUGAUGUUGAGUGUCAACCUGAUUGGAUUGAAGGAUGCAAAAUAUUGUUCCUGGGCAUGUCUGUGAGGGUGUUGCCAAAGGAGAUUAACAUUUAAGUCAGUGGAUUGGGAGAGGCAGACCCUCCUUCUAUCUGGGUGGGCACCAUCUAAUCAGCUGUCAGCACAGCUAGAAUAAAGCAGGCAGAAGAAGAUGGAAGAACAGACUUGCUGAGUCUUCUGGCUUUCAUCUUUCUCCUGUGCUGGAAGUAUCCUGGUCUCGAACAUCAGACUCCAAGUUCUUCAGCUUUUAGACUCUUGGACUUACACCAGUGAUUUUUCAGGGGCUCUCGGGCCUUUGGCCACAGACUGAAGACUGCAUUGUUUACUUCCCAACUUUCGAGGUUUCGGGACUCAGACUGAUGCACCACUGGCUUCCUUGCUCCUCAACGUGCAGAUGGCCUAUCAUGGGAAUUUAUCUUGUAAUCAGAAGAAGAAACUGAAGUUGGAAAGAUCAACAAGCUUACCUGAAGUCACAGGGCGGGAGAGUAAAGGAGCAGAAUUUUCAACCUAAGUUUAUAUGAUUCUAAAAUUUUCCACUACCAUGCUACUAAAAGAAAUUACUCAACUAGUUCUUCCUGUUCAGGUUCUAAUGGAGACUGAAGAUCCAUCACCUGCUCCACAUCUCCAGGGGGCCCAUGUGUGCAUCGCAGUGCAGAUCAUACAUGCUUCUUUCCCCUCCCAUGGCAAGGGGAAUACUGAAUGAUGACAACUCACAUGUGUAACCCAAGGGCUUUGCUUGGGUUUGCAAGGACUAGUGCACAAUACAUUCUUUGAGUGUUAUAAUAACAUUAAGUCAAUGCACGAAUUAUAAUCCCUAUUUCACAAGUACAAAAACACAUUCA